AGAGGAACCCCUGAUUUAUUUGGUAGAAUCCCUGGUCAAGCAAGUCAGCGGUUCCCCUUA
ensembl:miRNA mdo-mir-7285 mdo-mir-7285